UUCCACUCUCCUAGAAACAGGCGCUCAGGUGAGCUGCACUCACUGCCUUCUUCUGCUUCUUCUUCUUCUUCCUCUUCUCUCGCUCCUUCUCAAUUGACGAGACGAUGUGGAGGAAGUCGCUGAGAUUCUCGUCCAAGUUUCUAACAUCCAAAAACUCACUCUACCUCUCUUCCAUUUCCUCCUCGGCCGCCAACGACGUCGUUCGACACUCUCUCUCCCAAUCCUACCCCUAUGGAAGCCGAGCCCUUUCGGCGGCUACUGCUGUUGGUCUCGCUUCUGGGGCCACCAAAGCUUCUUCACACUGGGCUGGCCUCCGCCAUGGUCGCUGCUAUUGGGAGCUCUCCAAAGCUCGCCUAAGUUCCAGUGCAUAUGCAUUUGCUACGGCUUAUGAGCACGAGGAAGUUGAGGCUCAGCAUGAGGCUAACAACUUAACUACAGGAAGGAACAGUACAUCCGAGCCUAGUGGAACUUAUAGUGGGUAUUGUGGUCAAAAUAAUUUGCAGCUGCAACAGAAACUAAAUGGGGCUUGUGCAGAUGGUUCAAGGGACCCCCAGCAGAACUCAAAUCAGUAUAAUCCGAGUUACAAUGGGGUUUUUAAGAGAAGCACAAGCAAUGAAUUUCUGAACCAUCCAGUUCAAGAAAAUGGAAAUUUUAGUGGGCAUAAUGGGCAAGAAAAUGGAGGGUUACUGCAGACCCCUGAAUUGGAUUGGAGAUAUUUAGAAAAUGGAAGUAUACAGAAUCCAUAUGUGUCUCGGCAGGAGGGAUCCGUAGAAAUCAGACAGAAUCCAGAUGGUUUUGGUUCACAAGGCAAUUCAGGGUUUCAGGGAAACCUGAAUCAGAAUUGUACGCAGAAUGUUGCACAAUAUCAGCAAAAUGUAAAUGGUUAUUACACAAGGAAUGAUGCAAUGCAUCAACAGAACCCUAGUUAUGGACAGUAUCAGCAGAACCCUAGUUGUCGACAAUAUCAACAGAACCCUAGUUAUGGACAAAAUCAGCAGAACCCUAGUUGUCGACAAUAUCAACAGAACCCUAGUUAUGGACAAAAUCAGCAGAAUCCUAGGGAUGGAAAAUAUCAGCAAGGCUCUAGUUGUGGACAAUAUCAGCUAGGCCCUAAUCAAUAUCAGCAAAGCCCGCAUGUUGUACAAUCUCAAACAAAUACGGAUCCUUUUCAAAACAGGAUAGUGGAUUCUCAAGUAGCAAGUGAGUCCAAGUCUCAAGGAAAACUGAUUGAGGCGUCUGAAAGUAGCCCAUACAUUGGUACUCUUCAAAAGUUGGAUAAUUUUUGCAAGGAGGGCAAAGUUAAGGAGGCUAUGGAGAUCUUGGGUGUGCUAGAGAAGCAGCACGUUCAUGUGGAAUUGCAUCUGUAUUUACAGUUAAUGCAGGCAUGCGGGGAGGCUAAAGCUCUAGAAGAAGCAAAACUUGUUCAUGAAAACAUUACAAGAUUAGCGUCUCCUUUGGAAGCGUGCACGUACAACAGAAUUUUAGAGAUGUAUUCUAAAUGUGGUUCUAUGGACAAUGCAUUCAUGGUUUUCAACAAGAUGCCAAAGCCCAAUUUGACAUCUUGGAACAUUAUGAUAACAUGGCUUGCUAAAAAUGGCCUUGGGGAAGAUGCCAUUGAUAUAUUUAAUGAGUUUAAGAAAGCAGGUCUGAAACCUGAUUGCCAAAUGUUUAUUGGUGUUUUCCACGCUUGUAGUGUCUUGGAAGAUACUACUGAAGGACUGCUGCACUUUGAAUCAAUGAGCAAAGAUUAUGGCAUUGUCCCGACUAUGGAUCAUUAUGUCAGUGUAGUAGAUAUGCUAGGAAGUACAGGUUAUCUCGAUGAAGCUUUGGAGUUCAUUGAAAAGAUGCCAUUGGAACCUAAUGUCGAUAUUUGGAAAACCUUGAUGAAUCUCUGCAGAGUUCAUGGGUACUUGGAGCUAGGGGAUCGGUGUGCUGAGCUUAUUGAGCAGCUAGAUCCCUCCAGCUUAAAUGAGCAAUCAAAGGCUGGCCUUGUUCCUGUAAAAGAUUCAGACCUUGUAAAGGAGAAAGAGAAGAAAAAAUUAGCAGCCCAAAAUCUUUUAGAAGUCAGGAGCCGAGUCCAUGAAUAUCGAGCAGGAGAUACAUCUCAUCCUGAGAAUGAUAAGAUUUAUGCUCAACUUAGGGGUUUACGGGAACAAAUGAAGGAGGCUGGUUACAUUCCAGAGACUAGAUUCGUGUUACAUGACAUAGAUCAGGAAGGCAAGGAAGAUGCUUUGCUUGCCCAUAGUGAGAGACUUGCUGUAGCUUAUGCCCUCCUCAGCAGCCCAGCUCGUUCAUCUAUUAGGGUAAUCAAGAAUCUUCGUGUUUGUGGUGAUUGCCAUAAUGCGUUGAAGAUUAUUUCAAAAAUUGUAGGCAGGGAACUCAUCAUGCGAGAUGCUAAGAGAUUCCACCAUUUCAAAGAUGGCUUGUGCUCUUGCCGAGAUUAUUGGUGAACAACAUGAAACUUGAUUCAUCUCAGGGUUUUGUGGUUGUUUGGAGGAAGUGGAUUAGGGGGCAUUUGAGUAUAAAUUUUCGGUCUUAAUUAAUGAGAGACCAAGAAUUUGGAGCAUGUAGAGGGCUUAUGCAAGAGAGAAUCAGAUUGCAAGGCCUUUUGCAGACGAUGAAGUGAGGAGAGUUCCAGAUGGGUGUCGUAAUUUAGUACAUUCUAAAGGAUAUGACAAGUUGUUUCUUGCUUUGUGUUUGAGAUGGAUAAUUAUGCCAAAAUGAAUUGAACGAAGCGAAGACCAUAUCCUUCAGGACGCAUUACGAUACCUCAUGCAAUCACCUGAGAAUCUGCUGCUGGUUUAGCUGGCACUGCUUCGUUGGCAAGCAAGGUUGUUGCAGGCAAAUAUUGUUGGCAGCUGGUCUUGCAGCUUCCAUUAUAAUACUUAUGCAUUCAUAUAUACUCCAUUGAAGCAGAUUCACCCAAUAAAUACAUGGGUUGGUGCUGUUGUUGCUAUCCCUCUCCACUGCUAGGCAUUCUAGCAGGCAUUCCACCACUUGAACAGCAACCGACCCAGCGGCUUUUACAGGAGCCCUUUAGGAUUUUAUUACCCGUCAGUACACCACACCACAUGUUACCUCACCUCAACAUCAUCAGCAUCAUCUCGAGAUGGUAGAACUUGUUGCAAUUUCAUUUCAUUUGUUUAGGAGAUGGUAUGAGAGAAAGGGUGUUAAUCCUUAUAGGAAGAUGUGAAGACAUAAACGAAGAGAGAAGAAAUAGUGGUGUCAUUGAUGUUAGUGGAUGAUUCUUAAUUGGCAGGGUAUGAACACUGUUCUGAUCGUGAAAGAUGGAGGUAUAUCAGAGACGAGUAUACGCAAACCACCUCCAUACUUGCCUCCCCCUAAUGACUCACCUACCAUUCAAGAUUCGGCUGGAGAAGUAGAUGGAUUUUGACGUGAUAGAACUAUAAGUUGUAGAUUGAAGACCCUUUGAGAUUGUAGUUUUUCCCUAAUAAAUUGACGUAGACAAGUGUAGCUUAUGAUUUCGAAUAUUAUAUCAAUAUAUUACUAGAUUCUGG